AUCGCAACCCCCCAACCCACUCUACGUGUGAAGGGGAGGAAGUUGGCUUCCCGUGCCUCACCGGGUGCGGUUGGCCUAAAUUUGGAGCCUAAGGCAUUGGGUUGCUGCGGCGAUAGGUGGUGAACAAGGCCUUGGCCGUGCAAGCAACCGGUCGUGCAACCCUUUGACAGUACGCGCUCGUAGGACCCAAGGAUGUUGCCUUGUUGCGACACAAACG
rnacentral:misc_RNA from 1 species